AUCAUCUUGGUUUUGAAGUUUGCAGAAACAUAUGUUCAAAUGGGAGGGCUGCAGGCAGUGCAAACAGGACCCAAAGACAUAUCCCAAGCCAGACUGCACAUCGCUACCACACUGUAUCAACAUCGAGGUGAAAGAACAAUUACAAAGAAGUCUUGUUUUCCAGUUUGCUGGCUGAAUGUUCAGAGAUUUAUAGCUUUGGACAGCUAUGAUUCUAAGAAUUUUUUGGUCAGAACACAUGAAAUUUUAUUAAUGUUGGGUAUUAAGAACCAGUUCCACUGUUCUGGGAACUGUGGAAGUCUGUGUGAAACCUGUUGAUCUGUUUUGUUAAUAUUCUAACAAUCAAAAACACAAGAUGGCUUAGGAGCAUAUCAACAAAUUUUUCAUUCCAAACGGAACAAAUUUUCCCUUAGGCUAUACCGGAACAGUCCAAAGCAUUAAAAAAAUCCAAAGAUAUAUGACAUACUAAAUUGCAGUAUUUUCUGUUAUGUACUAGUAUAACAUGAUGGCUUGUCAACAGAAUAUAAAGAGGUAGUACUUGACUAUUUUUGGUAAAGUACACUCUAAAUGCCUUUAUUUGUUCCCAGACAAGGUGGAAGAGUACUGUGUGGAAUGCAAUAUGCUUCACUGUAAUGCUUCAGAGAACAUCAUUGACAUGAUACAGUGUGACUGCUGCUCAAGGUGGACACACAAAGAAUGUGCCACAGACAUGGGUGACAUGUUCAAAUGUAAAAAGUGUAACUUAAAUUAAACAGUUUUACCCCACCAGUGACAGUGUGGAUUAUUAAAAAUACAGAAGUAAAAUGUUCUACAUUAAAUAUAGUACAUCAUACAACUGAUGUCAUUGGUAUUAAUCAGGAAGUCAUACAGUGGCUAAUAACAAAGUGUAUGGCAAUCAGACAGGUUAAGGGAUGCAUCAGGAAGUCAUAC